ensembl:lncRNA
GACAUAAGCAGCCCUGUGCCUACACCCACAGCUAGCUCAGCCCAGAGCCUGGUGCUACCCGCUUGCACUCUUUCAGAUGUUAUGUUGCUCAAACCAUUCAAGCAAUAAUGUGUGUUUAAAGUAUAAACUGCACGGGAUUGAUAGUUUUGAUUCUGCUUCUCUAUCAUUUUUUGACAUAAUGUAAACAUGGCAAGCAAUAACAUGUACUGGAAAACAAAUUGUGUUUGUUAACUGAAACAGAAGCAGUGCUAUAAGGAAAUGAAUGCAGUGCUCUCAGUGGUUUCAGGUGGCAUCGUUGAUUCUUUUAUAGGAGUGUUAAGCAAAUUGUCUUUCAAAUGUCACUAUGUACAAUAUGGCAAGAUAUGGAUCCUCCCAUCUGGAUGUUUCUGUCCCAGGACAAGCAGCAAAGCUGUAUGAUGCCUGUGUCCCAAAACACAGUAAGUGGACAUGUAUUAAAUGUUUUUCGCCUUGAUUUCUUCACAAACAAGUUCAAAUCCACUUCAUGGAACACAGUGAAUCUGUGCUGUGUAACAGAGAAGUGCGUUCUCAUAAUUCCUACGAUAGGUAAUCAAAUGUCUUCCAACCUCAGCAUAUUUCACUGUUUCCUUGUAAUGCCUGGCUCCAUAUCCAUUGGCUCUUACAUGCUCCCUCAUUUCACUGUAACUCCACUCUUGUGAGAGCUGCUGACAUCAGUGAAAUCUUGUGUAUAAUAUUGGGUAGCAUGAGAUUCACAUCCCUCUGGCAUCCUUAAGUUAAAAGAGAUGUGAUUCUGCCUAAACAAACCCCAGGCUGCUCUAAUGAGUCCAAGCAAUUCCCUCCUUGACCAGUGAUGCUGCUCAGCAGUUCUGUGAGACCCUUUGCAACUCACCCUCACAGCCUGAGAGCCCUCUGACUCCCUGUGUUUCCCUGCCCAAGCAUGCAAUUUCUAGCUGUGUAGGGCUCCACUGUACCUACAGCAGUGGAGCUGAGUUUGCAGAUGACAUUCACACUAAGCAGCAGUACUGUGCAGUGCCAGGGCUUCGUUCAGAAGUCUGUGCUCCGUUCUCUUCUGCUUUUGCUGAGAUCUGUUUGGAAACCUUCCCAGAAAAUGACUAGCCAGUGGUAAAAUAAAAAACCAUUUCAGUGUGAAAUC